rnacentral:misc_RNA from 1 species
GAUGAAGAACGUAGCGAAAUGCGAUAAGUAAUGUGAAUUGCAGAAUUCAGUGAAUCAUCGAAUCUUUGAACGCACAUUGCGCCCGCCAGUAUUCUGGCGGGCAUGCCUGUUCGAGCGUCAUUUCAACCAUCAAGCCCCAGGCUUGUGUUGGGGACCUGCGGCUGCCGCAGGCCCUGAAAACCAGUGGCGGGCUCGCUGUCACACCGGGCGUAGUAGAUUUUAUCUCGCUCUGGGCGUGCUGCGGGUUCCGUCCGUUAAAAAACCCUUUUAACCCAAGGUUGACCUCGGAUCAGGUAGGAAUACCCGCUGAACUUAAGCAUAUCAAUAAGCGGAGGA